rnacentral:rRNA from 1 species
AGUGAACGCUGGCGGUAGGCCUAACACAUGCAAGUCGAACGGCAGCACAGUAAGAGCUUGCUCUUACGGGUGGCGAGUGGCGGACGGGUGAGGAAUACAUCGGAAUCUACUUUUUCGUGGGGGAUAACGUAGGGAAACUUACGCUAAUACCGCAUACGACCUACGGGUGAAAGCAGGGGAUCUUCGGACCUUGCGCGAUUGAAUGAGCCGAUGCCGGAUUAGCUAGUUGGCGGGGUAAAGGCCCACCAAGGCGACGAUCCGUAGCUGGUCUGAGAGGAUGGUCAGCCACACUGGAACUGAGACACGGUCCAGACUCCUACGGGAGGCAGCAGUGGGGAAUAUUGGACAAUGGGCGCAAGCCUGAUCCAGCCAUACCGCGUGGGUGAAGAAGGCCUUCGGGUUGUAAAGCCCUUUUGUUGGGAAAGAAAAGCAGCAGGUUAAUACCCCGCUGUUCUGACGGUACCCAAAGAAUAAGCACCGGCUAACUUCGUG